rnacentral:rRNA from 1 species
AUGGAUGGACUUGCUCCAAUGAACAUAAUAACGGAUCAAGACUUUAGCAUUGGUGGAGGCAUCAAGGAAGUAUUUCCCCUUGCAGUGCAUAGGCACUGCAUGUGGCAUAUUAUAAGGAAGGCAGAAGAGACUCUGAGACCGUUCUUUGCUGACCGUCAAGAUCUACAUAAGGCAUUCGAGUUGUGUGUGGACUACAACUUGACAGUGGAAGAGUUUGAAUGGAGCUGGAUGUCCAUGAUUAAAAAAUACCAAGUUCAAGACAACGAAACCCUUCAAAGCCAGUGGGAGAAGCGGAAGUACUGGGUGCCAUCCUUCUUUAUGCACUGCUUCUAUUUCUACAAACUAAGCAACACAUUGAAGGUUUCAAUGCUGUUUUGA